rnacentral:rRNA from 1 species
GAACGACGCUGGCGGCAUGCCUAACACAUGCAAGUCGAACGAGACCUUCGGGUCUAGUGGCGCACGGGUGCGUAACGCGUGGGAACCUGCCUUUAGGUUCAGAAUAACUCAGAGAAAUUUGAGCUAAUACCGGAUAAUGUCUUCGGACCAAAGAUUUAUCGCCUUUAGAUGGGCCCGCGUUGGAUUAGCUAGUUGGUGGGGUAAAGGCCUACCAAGGCGACGAUCCAUAGCUGGUCUGAGAGGAUGAUCAGCCACACUGGGACUGAGACACGGCCCAGACUCCUACGGGAGGCAGCAGUGGGGAAUAUUGGACAAUGGGCGAAAGCCUGAUCCAGCAAUGCCGCGUGAGUGAUGAAGGCCUUAGGGUUGUAAAGCUCUUUUACCCGAGAUGAUAAUGACAGUAUCGGGAGAAUAAGCUCCGGCUAACUCCGUG